UACAAAAACUACGACUCUUCCCCCUUCGUCUUGGCCACACGAAUGUCCUACGUCGCAUCUGAUAAAUAAGCUUGUUUGCUCGUGUCAUCGCAAUCCAAAGUGUCCAACUUCUUCGACGAGGAGAUUUAUAUGGAGAACACAACAGGUUCAAAGACUUCCCUACGACGGCAUCUCUCUCCCUGUUGCUGCAACCUUUCCGAUAUGUCAUAAUGGAGAGGGAUUCUUCAGGCAAAUACAAAUCUGAUCUCCUGAUGAACCAAUAACAACAUUUCACGAGUGCUGUAAUGAGAAUCAUCAGCAUGAAUGGCAAGAUGGCUGAGAUAUCAGAUUUCAUUCUUUCUACUUGAUUGCUGCUACUAUACCUCUUGAGACGGCUUCACGGAUUCUUCAUCUCGAGGAACUACAGAUGAAGAAGGCUUCUUGUGGUCGAUGGGCUCAAAGCACGCAAGUGUGGCUAACGUGCCCACGGCAUCGACGACUCCUCCGACCCUCUCUGACACCUCUAUCAGUAACGAUGCUGCUGUGAAGAGAGGCAUGACUUCCAUUAACGAAAUCGUCGUUGCUGGAACACAAUGCCUCUUCUCUAUAGUUGCUGCUUCUGCUGCUGCUGCUGCUGGUGACUGUGUUAAUUGUUUGGGAAGUGAUCGCAAGGCAACUUGGAGCUCCUCCACUGCAUCAUUCAUCUCUCCUACUAAAACUUGAAUGCUUCGCGACUCCUUCAUCGACUUGACGGAGCUCGAUAUCUCCUUCAAGACCUUCGAUGAACCCAAACUCAACCUCAUGCAGACAUCACGUAGAUGACGCUUCAUGUGCUCUGGUGCCUGUAAUAAGUCGGAGUUUAGAGUCUUGGAUGACAUAUGAAGCUUUCCUAUUUGAAGUGGCAAUGCGAACCUGGAUCUCUGA